CUUGUGAUCCCAGCCAUCCUUGUUAUCAAUGGCCGAAAGGCUGCAAAGACUCAGGAAGCAGCCACGAAGAAGCAAGGAGGACCUUCUGCACCAAGUGAUGCAGCAGUCCCUUACUGAAAAUCAAAAAGUACAGAAGUGGCUGGAGAAUGAAAGGAGGGUCCACCAGGAGAAGGCGGAUUGCUGGCAACAAACCACGGAGUGGCUCCUAAGCAUUAUGGCAUGCCAAGUGGAUUCGAUGCAGGUACUCAUAGCACUAUAUACGGAGCAGAUCCACACCCAUUCCCCCCCGCAGCCCUUGUCCCAAAACUCUUUCCCUUGCACCCCCAUGUCACCGCCAACCCACUUUCCCCUGCAUCCAGUGUCUUAUCGCCACCAGCUGGCUUCAAUACUUUUAGCUUCACCGCCCAGCCCUGCAAAC